CUCUGCCACAGCAGAUGUGGAGAGACAACAGGACAAUCCAGGGGUUGGAGGAGGGCAAUAUACAAGGAAAGGAAAAUUCACAGGCCGUGAAGAAUCGAGGUUGUUUCUUCUGCUGUAAAAUGAUCUAUUUGGAUUUGAGAUCAACAUGAGGUCUGUCCUUCGGGGCCAAGAGAAGAAGUCUAAUCUCUCUUCCACGUGACAGUCCUUCAGCUGCCUGAAGAAAGCUCACACAUCUCCUCCAUGUUGAACAUUCUUAGUUUCUUUAACUAUUCUUCAUUUGAAAUUAAAGGGGAGAAGGGAAGG